CCUAGUGACAUUGGGACAGUGGGAGACAUGGGGAAACAGACACUAAGGGACACAGCCAGUGUCCCAGGUGUCUGUGUCCCCAUGUCUCUUAGUGUUCCCAUGUCUCUCAGUGUUCCUAUGUCUCCCAGUGUCCCUAGUGUCUGUGUCCCCAUGUCUCCCAGUUCCCCCAUGUCCACAUGUCU